rnacentral:rRNA from 1 species
ACCGUAAACGGUGGGCACUAGUUGUGGGAACCUUCCACGGUUUUGCGACGCAGCUAACGCAUUAAGUGCCCCGCCUGGGGAGUACGAUCGCAAGAUUAAAACUCAAAGGAAUUGACGGGGCCCCGCACAAGCAGCGGAGCAUGCGGCUUAAUUCGACGCAACGCGAAGAACCUUACCAAGGCUUGACAUAUAGGGAAAAGUGGCAGAGAUGUCAUGUCCGCAAGGGCUCUAUACAGGUGGUGCAUGGUUGUCGUCAGCUCGUGUCGUGAGAUGUUGGGUUAAGUCCCGCAACGAGCGCAACCCUCGUUCUGUGUUGCCAGCAUUUAGUUGGGGACUCACAGGAGACUGCCGGGGUUAACUCGGAGGAAGGUGGGGAUGACGUCAAAUCAUCAUGCCCCUUAUGUCUUGGGCUGCACGCAUGCUACAAUGGCCGGUACAGAGGGCUGCAAUACCGUAAGGUGGAGCGAAUCCCAAAAAGCCGGUCUCAGUUCGGAUUGAGGUCUGCAACUCGACCUCAUGAAGUUGGAGUUGCUAGUAAUCGUAGAUCAGCAACGCUACGGUGAAUACGUUCCCGGGGCUUGUACACACCGCCCGUCACGUCACGAAAGUCGGUAACACCCAAAGUCAGUGGCCCAACCGCAAGGGGGGAGCUGCCUAAGGUGGGAUCGGUGAUUGGGACGAAGUCGUAACAAGUAACAAUCGA